rnacentral:lncRNA from 1 species
AGAAGAGGAAACCGGUGAAGUAAGUUUUUAAGAAAUUUCAUGUAUCUUGUCUACUGUACUUGUGCAAGUCGAACUGUUGUUGAAGCAUGUUAAUAUGUGCAAUUUAAACAAUGUUUUGCGCUACACAGGAAAGCUUCAGCAAAGGUGACUGAAGUUAUUAUGAUGACUCGGGGGAGAAAGAGAAAAGAGAACAAUGACGAAGUGUGUGCUAAGAACAAAAGACCUUUCAAGUAAGUUUAUGCAAUUUCAGAAGUACAUGUUAAACCCUCUGUCAAUACCAUGUUAAUUUAUUUGAGUUUGUACAGGAAAACGGCUGGAAAGUCUAAGUAGACAGACAAAGAUGACAAGGGGGACAAAGAAAAGAUGACAAUAAAUCCAAUUUUUGUUUCCCAUUAUUCUGUCGAAUUAUUGGUCACAAGUGUUAUACAUUCAGUUUUUUACUAUGGAAUUUAUCAUCAGAGUUAUAUUUGUACUAUGGAAGUUAUCAUCAGAGCUAUUGGAUGUGUGUGUCCUUGUGAACUUGUGAUUAUGUGCUAUGCUAAAUGCUAUGGGAACUAAACCUGUGAACAUGUUCUAUUUGAAUUCUGCCAAAAAUGAGCAUGGG